AGUAACGCGUGGGAAUAUACCCAGUUCUAAGGAAUAGCCACUGGAAACGGUGAGUAAUACCUUAUACGCCCUUCGGGGGAAAGAUUUAUCGGAAUUGGAUUAGCCCGCGUUAGAUUAGGUAGUUGGUGGGGUAACGGCCUACCAAGCCUACGAUCUAUAGCUGGUUUUAGAGGAUGAUCAGCAACACUGGGACUGAGACACGGCCCAGACUCCUACGGGAGGCAGCAGUGGGGAAUCUUAGACAAUGGGGGCAACCCUGAUCUAGCCAUGCCGCGUGAGUGAUGAAGGCCUUAGGGUCGUAAAGCUCUUUCGCCUGUGAUGAUAAUGACAGUAGCAGGUAAAGAAACCCCGGCUAACUCCGUG
rnacentral:rRNA from 1 species